CAUGAACCCGCCUAAAUUACUGAAUGAUCUUAUUUUUAUAUAAGACCCAUCAUGCUAGAACUAGUAACAAGAACACAACAUUCUCCUAAAUGUAAGCAUAAACCAAAAUGGAUAUCCCACUGGUAUUUAACGGAUAUGAAUUACCUACAGUAACAAAACAAGAAAAUCCUGUAUAAAUCUACCGUUAACCUAACACUAGAACACUUCAGGAAAGAUUAAAAGAGAAAGAAGGAACUCGGCAAAUCUUAACCUCGCCUGUUUACCAAAAACAUCGCCUCUUGCUUAAUUAUAAGAGGUCAGGCCUGCCCGGUGAUAAAAUUAAACGGCCGCGGUAUCCUAACCGCGCGAAGGUAGCAUAAUCACUUGUUCCUUAAAUAGGGACCUGUAUCAACGGCACAACGAAGGUUAUACUGUCUCCUCUCUCCAAUCAGUGAAACUGAUCUCCCUGUGAAAAAGCAGGAAUAAUUUUAUAAGACGAGAAGACCCCAUGGAGCUUCAAACCCACCGCAACUCAAACACUAAAUCCCAUUUACCCCUUAGAGAUAUGCCCAUCGGUUUUAGGUUGGGGUGACCGAGGAGCAAAACAAAACCUCCUCAACGUAAAGACCUUAAUCUUCAUCCAAGAGCUACUGCUCUAAGAACUAGAACACUAACGCACACUGAUCCGAUAUUCGACCAAUGAACCAAGUUACCCUGGGGAUAACAGCGCAAUCUACUUAGAGAGUUCUUAUCGACAAGUGGGCUUAUGACCUCGAUGUUGGAUCAGGAUAUCCCAGUGGUGCAGCCGCUACUA
rnacentral:rRNA from 1 species